AUUGAACGCUGGCGGCAUGCCUUACACAUGCAAGUCGAACGGCAACGGGUCCUUCGGGAUGCCGACGAGUGGCGAACGGGUGAGUAAUAUAUCGGAACGUGCCCAGUAGUGGGGGAUAACUGCUCGAAAGAGCAGCUAAUACCGCAUACGACCUGAGGGUGAAAGGGGGGGAUCGCAAGACCUCUCGCUAUUGGAGCGGCCGAUAUCAGAUUAGCUAGUUGGUGGGGUAAAGGCCUACCAAGGCAACGAUCUGUAGUUGGUCUGAGAGGACGACCAGCCAGACUGGGACUGAGACACGGCCCAGACUCCUACGGGAGGCAGCAGUGGGGAAUUUUGGACAAUGGGCGCAAGCCUGAUCCAGCAAUGCCGCGUGCAGGAAGAAGGCCUUCGGGUUGUAAACUGCUUUUGUCAGGGAAGAAAUCUUCUGGGCUAAUACCCCGGGAGGAUGACGGUACCUGAAGAAUAAGCACCGGCUAACUACGUGCCAGCAGCCGCGGUAA
rnacentral:rRNA from 1 species